rnacentral:lncRNA from 10 species
UUGGUUUCUUGCUUAGUAUGUGUUUCCCUCAGUACUCAAUAACAACGGAGGAGAUCCCUGGAUUCAGCAAGAAAAUCUUGUAACAAUCAAAUCGACUCUCCAUCUUUCUUCCUCCUGCUUUGUGCCCUGGGAAGCGGACCUCUCUGCACCAUAUCGACAGGCUCCCUGGACCUGAGGUAGAAGAUGCAAGGGUAGGAGGAGACCAAACUCAGUUGCCACCAUGUAAGAAGUGCCUUUCACCUCCGGCUGUGAUUCUGAGGCCUCCCCAGCCAUGUAGAACUG